rnacentral:rRNA from 1 species
UACGAAGGGGGCUAGCGUUGCUCGGAAUCACUGGGCGUAAAGGGUGCGUAGGCGGGUUUUUAAGUCAGGGGUGAAAUCCUGGAGCUCAACUCCAGAACUGCCUUCGAUACUGGGAGCCUUCGAGUUCGGGAGAGGUGAGUGGAACUGCGAGUGUAGAGGUGAAAUUCGUAGAUAUUCGCAAGAACACCAGUGGCGAAGGCGGCUCACUGGCCCGAUACUGACGCUGAGGUGCGAAAGCGUGGGGAGCAAACAGG